rnacentral:rRNA from 1 species
CUUGUCUCAAAGAUUAAGCCAUGCAUGUAUAAGUAUAAACGACUUGAUCGUGAAACCGCGAACGGCUCAUUAUAACAGCUAUAAUUUACUUGAUCUUGACAACCUACUUGGAUAACUGUGGUAAUUCUAGAGCUAAUACAUGCACCAAAGCUCCGACCGUAAGGGAAGAGCGCAUUUAUUAGAACAAAACCAAGCGGCUUCGGCCGUCCAAUGUUGACUCAGAAUAACUAAGCUGAUCGCAUGGUCUUGUACCGGCGACGUGUCUUUCAAGUAUCUGCCUUAUCAACUUUCGAUGGUAGUGUAUCUGACUACCAUGGUGAUGACGGGUAACGGAGGAUAAGGGUUCGACUCCGGAGAAGGGGCCUGAGAAAUGGCCACUACGUCUAAGGAUGGCAGCAGGCGCGCAAAUUACCCACUCUCAGAACGAGGAGGUAGUGACGAGAAAUAACGAGACCGUUCUCUUAAGAGGCCGGUCAUCGGAAUGGGUACAAUUUAAACCCUUUAACGAGUAUCUAUGAGAGGGCAAGUCUGGUGCCAGCAGCCGCGGUAAUUCCAGCUCUCAAAAUGCAUAGAAUUAUUGCUGCGGUUAAAAAGCUCGUAGUUGGAUCUGUGCUGGCCUCCCGGUCCACCUUCGGGUGUGCACUGGUGAGGUUGGCUUUCCUGCCCAUUUUUCGGUCAGUGCCUUUAACCGGGUGCUGGUCGUAGUGGGCAAGUUUACUUUGAACAAAUCAGAGUGCUCAAAACAGGCGUUUCGCUUGAAUGUUCGUGCAUGGAAUAAUAGAAGAGGAUUUCGGUUCUAUUUUAUUGGUUUUAUAGACUGAGAUAAUGGUUAACAGAGGCAAACGGGGGCAUUCGUAUUGCUACGUGAGAGGUGAAAUUCUUGGACCGUAGCAAGACGAACUACAGCGAAAGCAUUUGCCAAGAAUGUCUUCAUUAAUCAAGAACGAAAGUCAGAGGUUCGAAGGCGAUCAGAUACCGCCCAAG